GCCUGGCUGGCUCAGUUGGUAGAGCAUGAGACUCCUGAUCUCAGGGUCAUGAGUUCAAGCCCCACCCAUGUUGGGCA